rnacentral:rRNA from 1 species
CCUACGGGAGGCAGCAGUGAGGAAUAUUGGUCAAUGGCCGGAAGGCUGAACCAGCCAAGCCGCGUGAAGGACGAAGGUGCCAAGCAUUGUAAACUUCUUUUGUCAAGGGACAAAAUCAGGCUCGAGAGCCUGACCGAGGGUACUUGAAGAAAAAGCAUCGGCUAACUCCGUGCCAGCAGCCGCGGUAAUACGGAGGAUGCGAGCGUUAUCCGGAUUUAUUGGGUUUAAAGGGUGCGUAGGAGGACUGUUAAGUCAGCGGUAAAAGCCCGGGGCUCAACCCCGCGGAUUGCUUUUGGAACUAUCAGGCUGGAGUGCGGGAGGGGUAAGUGGAAUUCCUAGUGUAGCGGUGAAAUGCGUAGAUAUUAGGAGGAACACCGGUGGCGAAGGCGGCUUACUGGACAGAAACUGACACUGAGGCUCGAAAGCGUGGGGAGCAAACAGGAUUAGAUACCCCUGUAGUC